rnacentral:rRNA from 1 species
UACGUAGGUGGCAAGCGUUGUCCGGAUUUACUGGGCGUAAAGGGCGCGUAGGCGGUCCGAUAAGUCCCGUGUGAAAUCCCUCGGCUCAACUGAGGAAUGGCACGGGAAACUGCCGGGCUUGAGUUCGGGAGAGGGAAGCGGAAUUCCGGGUGUAGCGGUGAAAUGCGUAGAUAUCCGGAGGAACACCGGUGGCGAAGGCGGCUUCCUGGACCGACACUGACGCUGAGGCGCGAAAGCUAGGGGAGCAAACGGG